UCUGCCACUGCUUGGUGGUCGGGCUGAAGCUGCUGACUGUACAACACUACCUGAAGUCAUCUGCUGGGAUGGUGCAACCAAAGUCGCCUGAGGACAUUCUCGUGCAUAAUGUCCCUCCUGCCCACAUCUAUAGCAGGCUGUAGAUCCCAACAAACAAGCUCCUUUGUGCGGUCUUCCACACCUAUUGCAAACUGGAAUCUCUGUGCCAGAACUGGAGCCGCUACUCAUUCCCAGACCCGACUUAAUCCUGCUCCAGAACUUGCCUCUCUUUCCUCUGAGUUUAUC
rnacentral:lncRNA from 1 species